rnacentral:misc_RNA from 1 species
GCCCAAGAAAGCAACGAAGAUCCUAAAAUAUACCGUAACUAUAACCUAUAUCUGCAAAAUUAAGACAGAAGACUCUGCAGCCUGUUGAAUUUAGCUCUGCACUGACACGAAUCAGCCUCAAGAAACACCAAAGAGACGGAUCAACGCCCGCAUUACCAAUCUUCGAAGUCCUAGAAUUGAGGAACUUGAAAUUCAGCGUCGAUUAACAAGUUCUAGGGCUCAUGAUCAGAG